UACGUAGAGUGCGAGCGUUGUCCGGAAUUAUUGGGCGUAAAUAGCUUGUAGGCGGUUUGUCGCGUCUGCUGUGAAAAUCCGGGGCUCAACCCCGGACUUGCAGUGGGUACGGGCAGACUAGAGUGUGGUAGGGGAGACUGGAAUUCCUGGUGUAGCGGUGAAAUGCGCAGAUAUCAGGAGGAACACCGAUGGCGAAGGCAGGUCUCUGGGCCACUACUGACGCUGAGAAGCGAAAGCAUGGGGAGCGAACAGGAUUAGA
rnacentral:rRNA from 1 species